AUUGAACGCUGGCGGCAUGCUUUACACAUGCAAGUCGAACGGUAACAGGGAGCUUGCUCCGCUGACGAGUGGCGAACGGGUGAGUAAUGCAUCGGAACGUACCCAGUCGUGGGGGAUAACGUAGCGAAAGUUACGCUAAUACCGCAUACGUCCUGAGGGAGAAAGCGGGGGACCGAAAGGCCUCGCGCGAUUGGAGCGGCCGAUGUCGGAUUAGCUAGUUGGUAGGGUAAAGGCCUACCAAGGCGACGAUCCGUAGCGGGUCUGAGAGGAUGAUCCGCCACACUGGGACUGAGACACGGCCCAGACUCCUACGGGAGGCAGCAGUGGGGAAUUUUGGACAAUGGGCGCAAGCCUGAUCCAGCCAUGCCGCGUGAGUGAAGAAGGCCUUCGGGUUGUAAAGCUCUUUCAGGUGGAAAGAAAACGCAUGGGUCAAUACCCUGUGUGGAUGACGGUACCAUCAGAAGAAGCACCGGCUAACUACGUGC
rnacentral:rRNA from 1 species